GCCAUAUUGGUCACAUCUCAUUUCCGUUGUAUGGGGUGUGUCACAAGAGUGCUGUGCCAUCUAUGAAAACGAGCAAGUGGAUUGCCUCUUGCAAACAGCAGCAACUGGACUAGAGGGAGUGCGGACAGAUCUCCACAUCUGAGAAGCUGCUAUCAAGGCUAUCAUUCAGCUCUUACAGCAAGAAAUCCAAACUACGGAAGUCCUGCUGAGAUGGGAAAAAUCAUCAUUUAUGAGCAUGCCAACUUCCAGGGAUACUCCAGAGAGUUCACCUCUGACAUUGCCAAUCUGAAAAAUGUAGACUGGAAUGACUGUGUCUCCUCAGUGAAAGUAAUUGGCCAGCCUUGGGUGGCUUAUGAGCACCUCAAUUAUACAGGCAAGCUUCUCGUACUUGAGGAGGGAGAACAUAGCUUCGUUGGUCCUGAGAUGAAUGACAAGAUCACUUCUCUGCAGCUGAUUACUGAAAACCUGCACCAUCCCCAGAUCACUCUCUAUGAACAUGCCCACUACCAAGGGAAGAGCAGGGUGAUAAAAGAACCAACCAACUUGGCUAGGGGAUAUGACAAUGACAAGAUAUCUUCUCAUAAAGUCCAGAGAGGUGUCUGGCUACUGUGUGAACACAGUGAUGGAGGUGGUUCUCGUUACCUUGCACGAGAAUGUGAACAUCUUCCUGAUUAUAAUGCAAUCAGUUUCAACGACAAGCUCUCAUUUCUGCGUCCCCUUCUCCCUGGCAAGCAUUGUGGCUGCUAGACUGUGAAUCCCGCAGUCCUAUGGGUAGAUGCAGUCUCUGCAAAGAGGCUGAGACCUAGGUUUCUGCCCAUGCUGGUACUACUUUUUUCCCCCAAUGUCAUAGAAACAGUGAAUGUGGAAGGUCUCUUUCAUGUGUUGCUGCAGAUCAGUUUUUCUUUAUUCUGCCUCACGCUGUUUGCCCUCCCCGUGAUGCUCAUGAGUGUAAGAGCUGUCAUAUUUGGUCAAAACAGUGGUCAUUUGUCCCAGAAUCCUAUGCCUUACAGUGAUGUGGCAGGUGCUAAGGGAAGAGUGUAAGAACAAGGCAAAUAGCAAGUGUUCCAUCCUUGGGCACACACCAGUGUUUGGCCACGUCUGAUUUGGCAAAUUCCCACUGCCCAUCGCUAAAGGCUUCUUCUUAUAGGAGGCCUUCAUUUCUGCAUCCUCUGUGCCUUGUCAGGAGAGAAAUGUCCCAUUAACACUGAAAGAAACUCAAAGAUGUAGCACCUGCCUUUGUGAUUCUGUGCUCAAGUACUAUGUAAUGAAGAAGUGUUGCAUGCGGCUGCUGUUGCCAUAUGCAUAAAUAAGCCGUGAGCCAGGAGAAUCAUAGCUGUGAAGUAAAAGGAGCUACAGUUUACAAUGGAAAAUGUGAAUGCAUAACCAGGCAUCACUUGCUUUGUAAUUUGCUUCACAGUGAUCUCUUGCUUUACAAUGACCUCUUCCAUGUUCUUGCUUUCCAUUUUGUGUCGUUGUCAUUAAAGAAGUUAUUGAAAUCA